rnacentral:rRNA from 1 species
UACCGAGGGGGCAAGCGUUGUUCGGCAUUACUGGGCGUAAAGGGCGCGUAGGCGGCCUUCUAAGUCGGACGUGAAAUCCCCGGGCUCAACCCGGGAACUGCGUCCGAUACUGGAAGGCUUGAAUCCGGGAGAGGGAUGUGGAAUUCCAGGUGUAGAGGUGAAAUGCGUAGAUAUCUGGAGGAACACCGGUGGCGAAGGCGACAUCCUGGACCGGUAUUGACGCUGAGGCGCGAAAGCCAGGGGAGCAAACGGG